rnacentral:rRNA from 1 species
GAUGAACGCUGACAGAAUGCUUAACACAUGCAAGUCGAUUCGAUUUACCUUCGGGUAUUGAGGAUGGCGGACGGGUGAGUAACGCGUAAGGAACUUGCCUCUUGGUCUGGGACAACUGUUGGAAACGACAGCUAAUACCGGAUAUUAUGAGAUUCUCGCAUGGGAAACUUAUGAAAGCUAUAUGCGCCAAGAGAGAGCCUUGCGUUCCACUAGCUAGUUGGUGGGGUAACGGCCCACCAAGGCGACGAUGGAUAGCCGGCCUGAGAGGGUGAACGGCCACAAGGGGACUGAGACACGGCCCUUACUCCUACGGGAGGCAGCAGUGGGGAAUAUUGGACAAUGGGCCACAAGCCUGAUCCAGCAAUUCUGUGUGCACGAUGAAGGUCUUCGGAUUGUAAAGUGCUUUCAGUUGGGAAGAAGAAAGUGACGGUACCAACAGAAGAAGCGACGGCUAAAUACGUGCCAGCAGCCGCGGUAAUACGUAUGUCGCAAGCGUUAUCCGGAUUUAUUGGGCGUAAAGCGCGUCUAGGCGGAAAAAUAAGUCUGAUGUUAAAAUGCGGGGCUCAACUCCGUAUUGCGUUGGAAACUGUUUUUCUAGAGUACUGGAGAGGUGGGCGGAACUACAAGUGUAGAGGUGAAAUUCGUAGAUAUUUGUAGGAAUGNCGAUGGAGAAGUCAGCUCACUGGACAGAUACUGACGCUAAAGCGCGAAAGCNUGGGGAGCAAACAGGAUUAGAUACCCUGGUAGUCCAC